rnacentral:rRNA from 1 species
GCUAGCGGCGGAUGGGUGAGUAACACGUGGGCAAUCUGCCCUAAAGACUGGGAUACCACUUGGAAACAGGUGCUAAUACCGGAUAACAACAUGAAUCGCAUGAUUCAAGUUUGAAAGGCGGCGUAAGCUGUCACUUUAGGAUGAGCCCGCGGCGCAUUAGCUAGUUGGUGGGGUAAAGGCCUACCAAGGCAAUGAUGCGUAGCCGAGUUGAGAGACUGAUCGGCCACAUUGGGACUGAGACACGGCCCAAACUCCUACGGGAGGCAGCAGUAGGGAAUCUUCCACAAUGGACGCAAGUCUGAUGGAGCAACGCCGCGUGAGUGAAGAAGGUUUUCGGAUCGUAAAGCUCUGUUGUUGGUGAAGAAGGAUAGAGGCAGUAACUGGUCUUUAUUUGACGGUAAUCAACCAGAAAGUCACGGCUAACUACGUGCCAGCAGCCGCGGUAAUACGUAGGUGGCAAGCGUUGUCCGGAUUUAUUGGGCGUAAAGCGAGCGCAGGCGGAAUGAUAAGUCUGAUGUGAAAGCCCACGGCUCAACCGUGGAACUGCAUCGGAAACUGUCAUUCUUGAGUGCAGAAGAGGAGAGUGGAAUUCCAUGUGUAGCGGUGGAAUGCGUAGAUAUAUGGAAGAACACCAGUGGCGAAGGCGGCUCUCUGGUCUGCAACUGACGCUGAGGCUCGAAAGCAUGGGUAGCGAACAGGAUUAGAUACCCUGGUAGUCCAUGCCGUAAACGAUGAGCGCUAGGUGUUGGGGACUUUCCGGUCCUCAGUGCCGCAGCAAACGCAUUAAGCGCUCCGCCUGGGGAGUACGACCGCAAGGUUGAAACUCAAAGGAAUUGACGGGGGCCCGCACAAGCGGUGGAGCAUGUGGUUUAAUUCGAAGCAACGCGAAGAACCUUACCAGGUCUUGACAUCCUGUGCUACACCUAGAGAUAGGUGGUUCCCUUCGGGGACGCAGAGACAGGUGGUGCAUGGCUGUCGUCAGCUCGUGUCG